AGUAAUCUGCCUGGGAGCAGCAGAUACAUUCUCAUUGUUUGCCAUUUCCAGUUUCCAGUAAUGGGAACGAUUACUUGAUCCAGCCAGUUUCUGCUGAAGAUCUGGGAAAACAUACAAAUUUUAAUGGCAAAUUUUUAUUGGUUUCCAUAAAACGAGGGAAAAAAGCAUAACGUGGUUUUGGUACCUGGAGGCAUCACCUCUGAUAAUGAAUAUUGUUUUAUUUUGGAACUAAAGUGUCUGUUCUUCAGCAACGAGAUGUAUCUUGCUCUUCUGAUGGUUUUCUUGCAGUGUUCAGAACUUUAUGCUCAGAGGAAAGUUUUUACUUUCAACAAAGUUGAAAUCAGGGUUCAGCCGUCUGUCAAAGUGAAGAAUGGAGCUCCAAUGUCAGACUUU